rnacentral:rRNA from 1 species
CUGCCCCAAGCUUUGGGAUAACCCUCGGAAACGGGGGCUAAUACCGAAUAGGACUGCUGGCCGCAUGGCUGGUGGUGGAAAGUUUUUCGGCUUGGGAUGGGCUCGCGGCCUAUCAGCUUGUUGGUGGGGUGAUGGCCUACCAAGGCGACGACGGGUAGCCGGCCUGAGAGGGCGACCGGCCACACUGGGACUGAGACACGGCCCAGACUCCUACGGGAGGCAGCAGUGGGGAAUAUUGCACAAUGGGCGGAAGCCUGAUGCAGCGACGCCGCGUGAGGGAUGACGGCCUUCGGGUUGUAAACCUCUUUCAGCAGGGACGAAGCGUAAGUGACGGUACCUGCAGAAGAAGCACCGGCCAACUACGUGCCAGCAGCCGCGGUAAGACGUAGGGUGCGAGCGUUGUCCGGAUUUAUUGGGCGUAAAGAGCUCGUAGGCGGCUUGUCGCGUCGACCGUGAAAACUUGGGGCUCAACCCCAAGCCUGCGGUCGAUACGGGCAGGCUAGAGUUCGGUAGGGGAGACUGGAAUUCCUGGUGUAGCGGU